UGACGCUGCUUUGUUUGUUGUAUUGCAGGAAUUUACUAUUUUCUUAGUGAGAAGGAAAAUAGUUAGAAACAUUUGUAAGAUGUUUGAAAUAAAAAGAAAGAAUGAUUUCAUACUUUUCUCCAACUAAGAGUAUUUCAUAAAUUAAGUUAUUAUCAUGGCAUUAAUCAUCAUGAUGAUGAUGGUGAUAAUGAUUAUCAUCAUAAUCAUUACUGACGACGUACAGGCAGUCGUCAUCAUCAUCAUCAUUAACAAACCGCAUUAUCGUUGAGCAUCUCAAUCUCUCGGCAUGACUUGCUUUAACCAGCCAUCCAACCAACCACCACACACCACUUUACUGUUGAGGAACAGAGCUGUUGUUGUUGUUUCUUUAAUUUAACAAUUUCAAGUUUGUAUCUUAAGUCUUUUGUUUUUUUUUUCUUUCUUUAACUUUAACUUUAUAACACCGGAUUUUGUAUGAGCGAGUGUUUUCUUAACUCCAUAUUGUUAAUGUAUGUGUGUAUUUCUUUCUUUUUGUGAAAUAAAAUUAUUUUUAAUUCUUGCUAUAAACUUUCUUAUACAAAUGUCUUAAAAAUGUUAUAACAUUUCUUUCUUUUUUUUUAAAUAUUAUUUCGUUAAACAAAAGCAUCAAUAAAAUCUAUAGAAAAAAACUAUCGUUAUAAUUUCAAACAUUUCUUAUUGAUGAAGCAAUCCUAACGCUUUUUUCAAUAUAAAAUUGUUUCAUAUUUUUGGUUAUAUAAAAUUAAAUUUCUUUAGAAAAUAUAUAUUUAAUUACUAUUCUUCUUA